GUGGGGAAUAUUGGACAAUGGGCGCAAGCCUGAUCCAGUCAUGCCGCGUGAGUGAUGAAGGCCUUAGGAUUGUAAAGCUCUUUCACCGGUGAAGAUAAUGACGGUAACCGGAGAAGAAGCCCCGGCUAACUUCGUGCCAGCAGCCGCGGUAAUACGAAGGGGGCUAGCGUUGUUCGGAAUUACUGGGCGUAAAGCGCACGUAGGCGGAUAUUUAAGUCAGGGGUGAAAUCCCAGAGCUCAACUCUGGAACUGCCUUUGAUACUGGGUAUCUUGAGUAUGGAAGAGGUGAGUGGAAUUCCGAGUGUAGAGGUGAAAUUCGUAGAUAUUCGGAGGAACACCAGUGGCGAAGGCGGCUCACUGGUCCAUUACUGACGCUGAGGUGCGAAAGCGUGGGGAGCAAACAGGAUUAGAAACCCGGGUAGUCC
rnacentral:rRNA from 1 species